GAUGAACGCUGGCGGCGUGCCUAAUACAUGCAAGUCGAGCGAACGGACCAGAAGUUUUCUCCUCUGAUGUUAGCGGCCGACGGGUGAGUAACACGUGGAUAACCUACCUAUAAGACUGGGAUACUUUCGGGAAACCGGAGCUAAUACCGGAUAAUAUUUUGAACCGCAUGGUUCAAAAGUGAAAUACGGUCUUGCUGUCACUUAUAGAUGGAUCCGCGCUGCAUUAGCUAGUUGGUAAGGUAACGGCUUACCAAGGCAACGAUGCAUAGCCGACCUGAGAGGGUGAUCGGCCACACGGGAACAGAGACAGAGUCCAGACUCCGGCGGGAGGCAGCAGUCGGGAAUCUUCCGCAAUGGGGGAAAGGCGAACGGAGGACCGCGGCGUGAGUGAUGAAGGUGCUCGGAUCGGAAAGCUCUGUUAUUAGGGGAGAAGAAAUGCGUAAGUAACUGGGCAGAUCUUGACGGUACCUAGUGAGAAAGCUACGGCUAACUACGUG
rnacentral:rRNA from 1 species